GUGCAGGUGUGCUAUGGACAGGUGUGUGCAGGUGUGCAUGGACAGGUGUGCACAGGUGUGCACAGGUGUGAUGUGGACAGGUGAGGCAUGGGCAGGUGUGCACAGGUGAGGACAG